GGUUCGAUUCUUUGGCCUGAUUGAACGCUGGCGGGAUGCUUUACACAUGCAAGUCGAACGGCAGCACGGACUCUGGUCUGGUGGCGAGUGGCGAACGGGUGAGUAAUGUAUCGGAACGUGCCUAGUAGUGGGGAUAACUACGCGAAAGCGUAGCUAAUACCGCAUACGCCCUUCGGGGGAAAGCGGGGGACCUUCGGGCCUCGCACUAUUAGAGCGGCCGAUAUCGGAUUAGCUAGUUGGUGGGGCAACGGCUCACCAAGGCGACGAUCCGUAGCUGGUUUGAGAGGACGACCAGCCACACUGGGACUGAGACACGGCCCAGACUCCUACGGGAGGCAGCAGUGGGGAAUUUUGGACAAUGGGGAAACCCUGAUCCAGCCAUCCUGGCGUGUGCGAUGAAGGCCUUCGGGUUGGUAAAGACCUUUAUAGCAGGAAGAAAACGGCACGGGAUAACACCCUGUGCAACCGACGGUACUCCGCAGAAUAAGCACCGGCUAACUACGUGCCAGCAGCCGCGGUAAUACGUAGGGUGCAAGCGUUAAUCGGAAUUACUGGGCGUAAAGCGUGCGCAGGCGGUUCGGAAAGAAAGAUGUGAAAUCCCAGAGCUUAACUUUGGAACUGCAUUUUUAACUACCGAGCUGGCGUGUCAGAGGGAGGUGGAAUUCCGCGUAGCAGUGAAAUGCGUAGAUAUGCGGAGGAACACCGAUGGCGAAGGCAGCCUCCUGGGAUAACACUGACGCUCAUGCACGAAAGCGUGGGGAGCAAACAGGAUUAGAUACCCUGGUAGUCCACGCCCUAAACGAUGUCAAUCUAGCUGUUAAAUUUCGGCCUGCAAGGCAGCUAACGCGUGAAGUUGACCGCCCGGGGAGCAUGGUCGCAGAUUAAAACUCAAAGGAAUUGACGGGGACCCACACAAGCGGUGGAUGAUGUGGAUUAAUUGAUGCAACGCGAAAACUUUACCUACCCCCACAUGUCUGGAAUCCCGAAGAGAUUUGGGAGUGCCUGCAAGAGAACCGGAACACAGGUGCUGCAUGGCUGUCGUCAGCUCGUGUCGAGGAUGUUGGGUUAAGUCCCGCAACGAGCGGCAACCCUUGUCAUUAGUUGCUACGAAAGGGCACUCUAUCGAGACUGCCGGUGACAAACCGGAGGAAGGUGGGGAUGACGUCAAGUCCUCAUGGCCCUUAUGGGUAGCUUCACACGUCAUACAAUGGUCGGGACAGAGGGUCGCCAACCCGCGAGGGGGAGCCAAUCCCAGAAACCCGAUCGUAGUCCGGAUCGCAGUCUGCAACCUCGACCGCGUGAAGUCGGAAUCGCUAGUAAUCGCGGAUCAGCAUGUCGCGGUGAAUACGUUCCCGGGUCUUGUACACACCGCCCGUCACACCAUGGGAGUGGGUUUUACCAGAAGUAGUUAGCCUAACCGUAAGGAGGGCGAUUACCACGGUAGGAUUCAUGACUGGGGUGAAGUCGUAACAAGGCAA
rnacentral:rRNA from 1 species